rnacentral:lncRNA from 1 species
GAUCCAAGUCCAAAAAGAGCAAGUUCUGGAACAAGAUAAAAUCUAGUCUGGGAAUGGGAGGUGGCUCAAGUUCUGGUUCGGGCGGUCAUGUCUGUAUGAAGUGUGGUAGACCACACAAAGGAAUCUGCCGGGCUGGGAUGAACACAUGCUUCAGAUGUGGACAAGAGGGACACAUGGUUCGGGAGUGUCCUAGAGCAGUUUCAGGGGCACAGUCUCAGCAGACGGGUUCUGGUAGUGCAGCCCAACCAGUAGCUCCAGCCAUGACUCAGGCAAGUGGCAGAGGCAGAGGGAGAGGAGUAGCCUCUUCUUCAGGUUCCCGAGGUGAAGGUCCAUCAGCUCCAGCACGGAUCUUCACCAUGACACAGCAGGA